rnacentral:rRNA from 1 species
GCUUAGCCCUAAACCUCAAUAGUUAGAACAACAAAACUACUCGCCAGAAUACUACAAGCAACAGCUUGAAACUCAAAGGACUUGGCAGUGCUUCAUAUCCCUC